UGGGUAGAAGCUAUUACAACUAGUAGUGCUGGUCAUAACACUUCUGUUAAAAUGCUUAAAGAAGUUAUUUUUCCGAGAUUUGGAGUCCCUAGAUAUUUAAUGACUGAUGGUGGUUCACAUUUUAUUCAUGGUGCUUUCCGCAAAAUGCUUGCUAAGUAUGAUGUUAAUCAUAGAAUUGCAUCUCCUUAUCACCCACAGUCUAGUGGCCAAGUAGAAUUGAGUAAUAGAGAGCUCAAAUUAGUUUUGCAAAAGACUGUCAACAGGUCUAGAAAGAAUUGGUCCAAGAAACUUGAUGAUGCAUUAUGGGCCUAUAGAACUGCAUAUAAAAAUCCUAUGGGUAUGUCUCCGUAUAAAAUGGUUUAUGGAAAAGCAUGUCACUUACCUCUUGAACUAGAGCACAAGGCAUAUUGGGCUACUAAAGAGCUCAACUAUGAUUUUAAACUUACCGGUGAGAAGAGGUUAUUUGAUAUUAGCUCACUUGAUGAAUGGAGAACCCAAGCCUACAAAAAUGCCAAGUUAUUUAAAUGUAAAGUUAAAAGAUGGCAUGAUAAAAGGAUACAAAAGCGUGAGUUUAAUGUAGGUGAUUAUGUAUUGCUAUACAACUCUCAUUUAAGAUAUUUUGCAGGAAAAUUUCUCUCUAAAUGGGAAGGCCCUUACGUUAUCGAGGAGGUCUAUCGUUCCGGUGUCGUAAAAAUCAACAACUUCGAAGGCACAAAUCCGAAGGUGGUGAAUGGUCAAAGAAUUAAACAUUAUAUCUCAGGUAAUCCUAUAAAUGUUGAAUCCAAUGUUAUUGAAACUGUAAUUCUGGAGGAAUAAAUAAGGGACACUUUCCGGAACGUUUCAGACUCCGAAAAGGAAUAGGUAUGUGGUACAGUAAGUAAACCGACUCCAAAACAGUUUUUAAGGCAAUAUUUCCCUGUUUUGGAAUAUUUCGAAAAAUAGAAAAAUAAGAAGCAGUCCGGGAAGGACACGAGGUGUUUGUCGGAUUUCGGGUUCCGGCAGACCCUUGAGGUUCGAACACUGUGGUGCGCGCGGAGAUUUCGCCUCCUACCUACCUGCACCCCUCCGCCAUGCUAGGAUCUAAACUAAGGAAAGAACAACACAAGAGACACAGGGUUUAUACUGGUUCGGGCCACCGUUGUGGUGUAAUACCCUACUCCAGUGUGUGGUGUGGUGGAUUGCCUCUUGGGCUAAUGAUGAUGAACAAUACAAGGAAGAACAGCCUCGCGAGGGUCUGUUCUUGGCUGAGGCGAUGAACUGCUGGGAGGAGUUCAGCCACCUUUCUCUCUCUCUCUCUCUCUCUCUCUCUCUGCUCUCCUUUGGCCGACCGACCCCCUUGCUGUGUGGGUGGCUGGUCCUAUUUAUAGAGGCCCUGGUCCUCUUCCCAAAUAUUGAGCGGGAAGGGAGCCAACAAUGGCAGGCUAAUUUGAAGGGGGACAGCAAGUAUCAGCUAUCCUGACAAAAGUAGUCUUCGCCUGCGCAAAGCUCUGGUGAUGACGUCGUCUUGGGCUCCACGGUGACCUCCAUCUCGUAGUCCUCCUGGUCUUGGUCUCGUUGCACCGAAAUGGCAACCUUUGCCUGAUGCCUCGGUACUCCGCGGCUGCGCUUGCCCCCUUUGCACCAAAGAGGAAAGGAGGACGCUGCACGGGCUGGCACCCGCCUGGCGCCCUGAGUUGUCAUGGCUUGCGUCAUGGGCACCUCGUGAGGUACCCCGCCUUGAUCUCUCCGCCUCCUCGUGAGCCAGCCUGAUGAGCCCGUGCCUGAGGAAGCUUCACGUCGUCCGCCCCGCGAGGCUUGGCCCCUCGCGAGGGUCUUGGGUUUGUGUUGGUGAAGAUGGGUCGUGUUGGGCCCCCCUUUGAGCCAUGCCGCAGGCCGCAGGCAGGCAAGUCUGGGGAUCCCCGUUCCCAGAAUGCCGGCAGUAGCCCCCAGGCCCAAGGCGCGCCCGGACUUGGCCGUGCAGGGAGGCGGAAGGGCAAGAGUGAAGCGUCGCGGGCCCUAACAGCCUGCGGCCUUGGGCGCCACGUGGCGGUUGAUUGGACGUGGGUGUCUCCACUUCCCCAUGGUGCCUCGGCAACUGCACUGACUAGACAAGUCCCUGCAUGCAAAACGGGUCAUGAUUACCUGCGAUCGUGGAGGUCGGCGGUUGGCCUCCGCCGGCUAUAAGUACGGGAUGGUGUGCGCCCUUCCAGUCCACCCCUCCUUGCUUCUCCUUCUUCUCGAUCCUUGCUCCGUCUUGCCGCGAUGGCUCCGGUCCGCCGGUUCUCGACAGCAGAGAAGGGAAAGGCUCCCCGAGAGGGGCCAGACCCUCUCCCGCCGAAGAAACGGCUCAUCCCCCGUGGCCCGAACGAAGGGGCCCUUCAGGUGGUGCCGAGGCCUUGGGGCGAGCGGGCGCCGCCGGGGUUCCCGCUUCCAUUGUUCGCCCACGUCGAGGGCCCCGAAGGAGCUGAUGCUGACCGCCACGGGCGGCGCCGUCAUCGGCGCCGACGGGUCACGAAGGUGUGGGUCGUCCCCCCUGGGGUCCACACCGAGGGCUCCUCCCAAGAGUUCGUGCUCCAUGUCGCCAUUCCUCUUCAGUCUUGGAUUCGCAUGCCUCCCUUCUUCGCCUCCAUCAUCCCGUAGGGGGAGCCCCUGGAGCUCUGGCUGCAGCAUGUCGGCUGCAGCACCCUCGCGACCGAGGCAGAGGUCGCGGUCAUCGCCCCGGGCGAGGUCUACAUGACCCGGGGCUGGAGGGAGAUCGCCCGGGUUUGCAGGACAAGGGGAGUCUUUGCAAUCCACUUGGACUAUGAUGGUGCUUCGGUGAUGCUCUUCAAGGUCUUUGAUGCGAGCGGGCGCCGGCUGGAGUGCUGCCCCGGGGAAGGUGGCCAGGGCCCUGCUGUGACGAGGACUGGGCACGCCACCCACUCCCUUGGAGGCUCCUCAGGCGGUGGAGGCGUCAGAGGUUCCAGCGACUCCGGUGAGCUCUUCGCGACUCCGGAGACGAGCGACGACAGCUACGAGCCCCCGAGCCGGCGCCGCUCCUGGAGCAGGGCGGGCUCGUCAGGCCGCCGCCGACUCUGAUCUGGAUGGGGUUGGCGUCGGUGCUUGACGGCCCACUGUUGAUGAUGGCGUCUUUUGCAGGGACGCGCGUAGUUUGUGUCCCUUUAGGAUCCGUUCCCUGCGAGGAAUCAAAAACGCGUCCCAUAGGGGCUUGUAAGGUGCCUGUGAUCCUGUCUUGUAUAUAUAACACUUGUCGUAGAAUUGCGCGACUUGCUCAUUCCAUCUUAGCUCAGUCCUCCCUUUCGAACCUCACGAGGGCUUGGUGCUCUGCGCCGACAGGUCCCAGUCCCAAGGCGGCUUCAGCCGUCACUGGUAUGCCAGGUCGUGAUGCCGUGGUCAAGGCUAGGAGGUGAGCGACCCGGAGUCCGGUAAGAGCCCCUGAGUCGCGAUGCUCAGGAGGUCCCCUUUGGCGCCCAAGCAGCCGUCGUUUGGUGAGAAAGGGGAGCGGCGUCGCUAACAAGGGAUAGCAUUAGGUGCAGGGAUGGUGCCAUGGCAGCUGGCGCUUCCGGGCGAUAACUUAUCUCGAGGAUCAGGGGCCGCUCUCUGGUGUGUGGCCGGGUCCGUGCGUCGACAGGAGCGGGGUUGCUUGGCGAGGUCCUCGUGUGUCUCCUCCCUCUCGCCUCAGCUCCCCUUUCUGCUCUACGUCCUCGGGUCCCGGCCCUCGAGCGAAUCUCAACCGUCGCUGGUAUGCCAGGUCGCGAUGCCGUGGUCAAGGCCAGAGGGUGAGGGCUGGAGAGCCAAUAGGAGCCCUGAGUCGCGAUGCUCAGGCACCCCCCCCCCUUUAACGUGCAAGCGGUUCGCGCGGACGAGAGCGAAGGAGGCACAGCAAGAGCCUCGCCUGACGCAGCUCCUUCGGGAGGUCCUGCAGGUCCAUCAUAGAAAAAGCAAGGGGUUGCCAUACAAUUGACGGUCAGCCGUUGGUUGCUUCCGAGGGGUAGUGAGGCACUGAAAGCUUGACGAGGUGACGCUAUGCGGGGCUACCGCGGCCAGAGCUCAGCCAUCCAGGUUUGUCGGCGUUGCAGGGACGGACCCAUGCGCAAGCGUCGUGCCGUUCGGGAGCAGCUCCGUUAGUUGGCGUCAGCUGAGUAGGCAACUAGGUAAAACACGUUAGCCACGAAGGAGUGGAUUCGUUCAAAUAGAUGCUGGGAAUGCGGAGAUCACUAGGUCAGGCCCGAGCGACUUGGGGGUGGUGCAGCCUGAGGGGCGCCCCCAACAAGGUAAGCUAACAACAUAGAAUAAAGGGAUACACGCCGCAGGGACGGACCCACGCGGCCUGGGAAUAAUGCAGCCCUAGGGGCGCUCCCAGCUGGAAGUAAAACUCGAAAGAUGUCACCUGAUGAUGUUGAGGAUGAAGGGGUGUUGGUGUAGCAGGCUCGGGGGCUGCGGGAGCCGAUCCUCACGAGCCCCCAGGACCAGGGGCCUCGGGAGGCUCCGGAGGCGCUAGCGGCCCCUCGCGGGCCAUCUCCAUCUCUGCCAGGGCUGCGGAACGUCUGGCCUUUCAUGCCUCCAUGAUGCCCCCCAUGAGGCGCUGGUACGCGUCAGCCGCGUUCGGCAAGCCGUAAGGCAUGCGAACGUAGCUGUGGGGUGGACCUCCGCAGCGCCCCACUCGCGAGGGCCAGAGGCGCCCCAGAGAGACGACUCGGUUGAGCCCUGGUAUGUCGAUGCAGACGUGCAGCCCACCAUCCUCGCCUGGAUGGGGGCCACUGCUGGUAGGUGGCGGGCGCCUCUCAUGACUCUUGACUCCUGUAGCUCCUGAAUGGCCUUGGUGACGAACUCUUGUGGGUCUAGAUCUCCUUGCCUUGCUCCUUCUUGACGGAAACGUGCUUCAAAACACGCCUCCAUGUGGUGCCCAAGCACCUCCCUCGUGACCCUAGCUAGGUCGGUGGCCCUCCAGGGGAGAGCCCCCCCGCCCUGCCUGAGGAGGGCGCCGGCGCACUUUCCUAUGCGAUGGAGGGAGGCUCCCCCUGGGCAGGCGCGGGCCCAGAGGGGCCUGCCUCCUGAGUGGUCGAGCCGGACGAUGUCUUCUUCUUCUUGGGGGUGGUUUCGGGAGGCCUCCUGCUUCCACGACCCGGGUCUUCUACUGACGCGGCCUGAAAGGCUCGUUCUAGGGAACACACCGCGUCCUUCUCUUCACAAGGCACCGUGAUGACUCCGCCGCUUCCUGGCAUCUUGAGGACAUUGUAGCCGUGGUGAGUUACGGCCAUGAACUUGGCCAGCGCUGGGUACCCAAGGAUGGCGUUGUAUGGCAGGCGAAUGUGAGCGACGUCGAAGUCGAUGAGCUCGGUGCGGUAGUUGUCGCGUGCCCCGAAGGUGAUAGGGAGGCGGACCUGCCCAAUCGGGACCGUGGAGUCGUCAGUGAUACCGGAGAAGGGCUUGGUUGGCUGAAGCUGGCUGUAGGGCACUUGGAGGUUGUUGAACGUCUUCACGGACAGGACGUUGAGCCCUGCCCCUCCAUCUAUUAGGGUCUUGGUGACCACCACGUUGCUGAUGAUUGGGGAACAAAGCAUCGGGAGGACUCCGGCUGUUGCCGCACACUUGAGCUGAUCUGCUGAGCUGAAUGUGAUGGUGCACGCCGACCACCUAAGAGGGUUGUGGCUUCGAGUCUGGGGAGUACUGCGUUCACUUCGCGGGCGAACUGCUUGAAGAUGCGCUGAGAGGCUGGGGCUUGAGCUCCGCCCAGGAUGCAGGCGAUCGCGCGCGGCUCCUGGAAGCCCCCAGCCUCCUCGUCUUGAUGGCGGUCCUCGUUUCUCCUUGGCUGCGGUGGCAGCGGUGGGAGGCCUGCGUUGCCUAGCGGGCGAUCCUCGCGAGGUUGAUCCCUCCAGUCUCCCUCGCGAGGCUGAUCCCUCCAUCCUCUCUCGCGAGGCGGGUCUUGCCAGCGAUCCUCGCGAGGUUGGUCGCGCCACCCUUGGCGCGGCCCACGGUCUUCCCAGCGUCCUGCGUUUCUUCCUCCUCCUCGACCGUAGCCCCGGUCACCGCGGUCGGGGCGACGGCCGAGCCUUCCUUCACGCACGGCUCGGAGUUCUUGGCAUUCGUUGGUGUUGUGGGUGUGGAGGUCGUGGUACACGCAGUACUGGCUGCCCUUGGGAGGUUCGGGUUGAUCUCUGCCCUGCUUGGUGUCUGGUUCUGCCGCGAGCACUGCAGCCCCCUUGCGCUUCACAUCCUUGGCCUUGAGCUUCUUCUCUUCUGGGUCUGCGGCAGGCAGCUCGAGGAGGGAGAGGCGCCCCUCCUCAGCCCUGGCGCACUUGUUUGCCAAGUUGAACAGCUCCAAGGAAGUGCACAGGUCUUCAUGCAUCGCCAGCUCCUCCUUCAUCUUGACGUCGCGCACUCCGUCGGAGAAAGCUGAGAUGAUGGCCUCCUCAGUCACCUUGGGGAUCUUGAGGCGUGCGUUGUUGAAGCGCUGGAUGUACUUCUGCAGGGUCUCCCCGGGUUGUUGCUUGAUGCGGCGCAUGUCGCUCACGGCGGGUGGCCGGUCGCGAGUACCUUGGAAGUUGGCGAUGAAGCGGAUGCGCAUCUCUUCCCAAGAGGAGAUUGUGCCUGGAGCCAGGUUCAGGAGCCAGGUGCGGGCCCCGUCCUUGAGCGCCAUAGGGAACCAGUUCGCCAUGACCUUCUCGUCUCCGUUGGCAGCUUCGAUGCCCAGCUCGUAGAGCUGGAGGAACUCCGCAGGGUCGGCCGUGCCGUCGUAGCGAGGAGGCAGGUCUGGUUUGUACUUGCCGGGCCACGCGACGCUGCGUAGUUCGGUGGUGUAGGCGCGGCAGCCUGCUGUGGCCACGGGAGGCCUUAGGUGAUGGAGAGCCUGGUCUUGCAUGCCCCCACGCGCUGGAGCAGGGGGUUGGUCGCGACGUGCUGGAGCAAGGAGCGCCCGGGCAGCUUCUGGCGGGCGAGGGACUUCUUGGCAGCUCUGUUCUUGCUGCGCUAGCACCUGACAGAGCGGGUUCCGUCCAGGGGCCAUGCGCCUUGGGGCCAUGGCGUCUUCUUGAGGAGGAGGCGGCCGGGGCGCCGCCGGAGCCUCUUCGCCCGCGCAGGGCGGGGUGCGGUGCAGCGGAACGGACGGCGCGGAAGAGCCCCCUGCAGCACGGACGAGCUCGGCGACGCGAUCGAGCCAUUCUUCGUAGACGCUGUCGACGGGACGGUAGCGCAGGAGCUCGUUUGCCGCGACGAGUGCAGCCCGAGCCUCCAUGGGUGCGCGGAGCGCGUGCGACGAAGAUCCAGCUGGGGCGAGCGAGGGAGUUGCGGUGCGGCCGUCUUGCCGCACGGACGGAUGCUGUGAUGAUGCUUGCCGCUCGUCCCCUGCCAGGUAGGUGGUGGCGUUGACGGCAGGUGACGGGGAACGGUGUGGAUGCCUGUAACACCCCGGAUAUGACUUUCCCAAUUUGUACUCCAACUCUUGCCGUUUCCUGCGUUAAGUUAUUUUAUUUUCUCGGGUUCAGGUUUUUGUCUCCGUGUGUUGCUAUUGUUGUCAUGCAUCUCAUAUCAUGUCAUCAUAUGCAUUGCAUCUGCAUACGUAUUCAUCUCAUGCAUUCGAGCAUUUUCCUCGUUGUCUAUUUUGUAUUCCGGCGCUUCGUUCUCCUCCGGUGGUCAUUUCUACCUUUCUUUCGUGUGUGGGGAUUAAACAUUUCCGGAUUGGACCGAGACUUGACAAGCGCCCUUGGUUUACUACCGGUAGACCGCCUAUCAAGUAUUGUACCAUUUGGACUUCGUUUGAUGCUCCAACGGUUAACCGAGGGACCGAAAAGGCCUCGUGUGUGUUGCAGCCCAACACCCCUCCAAUUUGGCCCAAAACCCACCUAAACCUUCUCCAUCAUCUAGAGCAUUCGAUCACGAUCGUGUGGCCGAAAACCGCACCUCAUUUGGACACUCCUAGCUCCCUCUAUGCCUAUAUAUACCUCCCCCUCUCCAAAUUUCGGAUCUCCCCGUCCAAAACCCUAAAAAAACACCUCGCGCCGGCCGGACACGUCCGUCCCCGGUCGGACAGCGUCCACCGCCGCCUCCAUCCAACCGGGGCGCGCCACGUCACCUGGGGGAGAGCCCCACUUCGCCGCCGCCGCGCGGGCCUGCCAGGCCCGCACCGGGCCCCCGCGGCCCACCUGCCCACCGCCGCCCGCGCCUUCGUCUUCAAGCUCCGCGGCGAGCCCGCGCCGCCUCGCCUCUAUAUCCGGCAGAGCCGCGCCACCACACCGCAGCACGAACUCACCGGCGGCCGCCUCGUCCCUCGGCGGCAGGAGCCUCCGCGCCGCCAUCGCCGGCCAUCACCAUCGAUGCCGCCGCCCCGGCCUUCCUCCUCCCUCCUCAACGCCGCCUCCCUGAGCUCUCCGGCAAGCCGCUGGCCUACCUCCCCGACGAACUCCGGCGUUCCUCGGUCGGCGUGCGCCCAGAUCCAGAUCCGAGCUACAGUAACCUAGGAUUGACCUCGAUUUUUCCCUAAGUCUGCAUAUUAUUUGCUCAUGUUCUUCAUGCUAUAACUUUGCAUCUGUAGCUCCGUUUUUGGGCAUAUAGCAUAUGAAAAUGUUCGCCUCAGAGAGUACAUCAUUUCAUCUCAUUGCAUCAUUUUCAUUUGAGUUCAUCUUGAUGCCCGAAAUGCUGUUAGAAGAGUGCUACUUGAGAUAUUUGCCAGAUCUGCUACUCCAUUUAGAUUUUUGUCAUUUUUGCCAUGAUUAUUGUGUGCAUGAUAUGCCCAUGAGCUCUGCAUAUGUUUUGUUAAGAGUUUUUCCAUUUUUCCAGGGGUGCAACCCAUGUAUUUUUGUGAUGUGUGUGGUGACUAGCACAAGCUUGCGAAGUGAGGCACUUGGUAAUGCUGAUUUCAGGGACUUAGCAUUUCCACUAAGUCCUUGAGCUGUUUAUCUCAUGAUGCCAUAUGUUCAUGUUGUUUCCUAGUGAUCCGUGCCUCUUUUGAGGAUGAUCAGUAAGGAUGUUUUGUUAAUCUUGUAGUGCUAUAUCCAUCCAUGUCUUUGUUUGCAAUUAUGGAGUACCCUAGCUUGAUUCAAUCGAGCUCUACUUUUGCUACUUCGUGAAUCUGGGCAAAUUGUCUAUUUGUUAGCGAUUUUGUCGAUGAUGUUGUAGUUGAUCCAUGCAUGCUAUGCUAUUGUUCUUGCCAUGCCUAGCUUGCAUUUUGUGUAUUCUUGAUGGGUGUAUGCUUAGAUUAUCAUGACUUGCUCCAUAGUGAGUGCAUCGAGCUCGUAAACAUGCCUACUUGAUAUCUGUUUUCAGCAUGCUCCAGUUUUCACCAAGUCUGAGAACUGAUUAUGUUUUUGCCAUGUUCACAUGCUUGCAAUUGUAUUUUCUGAUCCAUUUUGGCUCAAGGUCACUAAGGGACUUUUGUUAAGCUCUUUGAGUAGCUCCAUGCCAUGCUUUACUUUGCCAUGUUCAGGUCCUGUAGCAUAUAGUUUUGUUGCUCCGAAGUGUCCUACCUGAUCUGAAAUUCCAGACAAGUGUUAAUUUCACUAAGUCUGAAAUCUGUUUGCCAUAUGCAUUUUUGCCAUGCUUGUUUGAACCUGUUAAUGGAUGAAAUGGCCGUAGCUAAGUGCUAGACUUUUGUUAAACAUCAUGAAUGCAUCCCUGCCAUGUAUUUUGUUGUCAUGUUUGGGUGCUGUAUCUUGUUCAUCUCUUUGCAUUUAGAUGGCUACUUGCUAUAAAUCGCAUACCGGUGUCAUAUUUGAAUUGCUUGCCAUUUUCAAACCGUAACUCCGAUUCCGGCGUUCUUUAUAUCGUUUUCAAGCGAUUUCAUCUCAUCUUUCCAGUGGCACACUUGGAUUUCCAAGUUGAGGCUAGGUUCAUGCAUCCCUUGUCAAAUCUUGCAUAUGCAUCCCGCAUAGCAUACCAUCCUUGCAUCAUAUUGUUUGAUCCUUGCACGUGGUUGAUUGUGUCCUUGUUGCUUGUUUGUCUUGUUUGGGUAGAGCGGGGAGACGAGUUCGCUAACAAGGAGCCUGUUGAGUUUGCUUUCGAGGAUCCAGUCAACUCUGACCACUUUGCAGGCAAGAUGAUCAUACCCUCGAAAUCACUACUAUCUUUGCUAUGCUAGAUUGCUCGCUCUUUUGCUAUGCCAAUGCUAUGAUGCCUACCACUUGCUUUCAAGUCUCCCAAAUUGCCAUGUCAAACCUCUAACCCACCUUGUCCUAGCAAACCGUUGAUUGGCUAUGUUACCGCCUUGCUCAGCCCCUCUUAUAGCGUUGCUAGUUGCAGGUGAAGAUUGGAGACCGUUCCUUGUUGGAACUUAAUUUACUUGUCGGGAUAUCAUUAUAUUGCCAUGUUAUCUUAAUGCAUCUAUAUACUUGGUAAAGGGUGGAAGGCUCGGCCUCUCGCCUAGUGUUUUGUUCCACUCUUGCCGCCCUAGUUUCCGUCAUAUCGGUGUUAUGUUCCCGGAUUUUGCGUUCCUUAUGCGGUUGGCUUAUAAUGGGAACCCCUUGAUAGUUUGCCUUGUUUAAAGCUUUUCCAGCAAUGCCCAACCUUGGUUUUACCAUUUGCCGCCUAGCCUCUUUUUCCCUUGGGUUUCCGGAGCCCGAGGGUCAUCUUAUUUUAGCCCCCCCAGGCCAGUGCUCCUCUGAGUGUUGGUCCAACCGAGCGAUGUCCGGGGCUACCAGGGCAACUCUGGGCUGGCCUACCCGACGUCUGGCUCAUCUGAGUGUGCCCUGAGAACGAGAUAUGUGCAGCUCCUAUCGGGAUUUGUCGGCACAUUCGAGCGGUGUUGUUGGUCUUGUUUUAACCUGUCGAAGUGUCUUGAAGAACCAAGGUACCGAGUCUGAUCGAAACGUCUUGGGAGGAGGUCUAUUCCUUCGUUGACCGUGAUAGCUUGUCAUGGGCUAAGUUGGGACUCCCUUGCAGGGAUUUGAACUUUCAAAAGCCGUGCCCGCGGUUAUCGGCAGAUGGGAAUUUGUUAAUGUCCGGUUGUAGAUAACUUGAACCUUAUUUUAAUUAAAAUGAAUCAACUGAGUGUGUUACCGUGAUGGCCUCUUCUCGGCGGAGUCCGGGAAGUGGACACGGUGUUGGAGUAAUGCUUGCGCAGGUUGCUCUCUAGUUUCUCGCUCGUGCUUUGCCUCCUCUUCUCGCUCUCUUUUGCGAACAGGAUAGCCACCAUAUUUGCUAGUCGCUUGCUGCAGCUCCACAUAUUUACCUUGCCUUACCUAUAAGCUUAAAUAGUCUUGAUUGCGAUGGUGCGAGAUUGCUGAGUCCCCGUGGCUCACAGAUUACUAUUACACUAGAUGCAGGGCCUGAUGAUUCCGCUCCAGGUGACGCGCUCGAGCUCAAGUGGGAGUUCGACGAGGACUCUCAACGUUACUAUGUUUCCUUUCCUGAUGAUCAGUAGUGGUGCCCAGUUGGGGUGAUCGGGACCGUGUCGCUUGUUGGGUUAUCUUUUAUUUUGGCGUCGUAGUCGGGCCAUGAGUGUUUGGAUGAUGUAAUGUUAUUUAUGUACUUGAUUGACGUGGCGAGUGUAAGCCAACUAUGUUAUCUCCCCUUUUAUUAUCUAUAUUACAUGGGAUGUUGUGAAGAUUGCCUAACUUGCGACAUAUGCCUUCAAUGCGAUUAUGCCUCUAAGUCGUGCCUCGACACGUGGGAGAUAUAGUCGCAUCGAGGGUGUGACAAGUUGGUAAUCAGAGCCUUCCCUGACCUUAGGAGCCCCAUUGCUUGAUCGUUAUUAGCGGCCGAGUUGUGUCUAGAAAAAUGUUUUGAGUCAUUUAGGAAUUAUAUAUAGGAGAGUUUAGGAAUUCUUUUUACUUCCCAGUCUCCUCAUCGCUCUGGUAAGGCAUCCUGACGUAGAGUUUUGACUCUUCUCUUCUCAAAUUUCACUAAAAAAAUUAGGAUCACGCGGGUAUCUUGGAAUCGUUCCGAUGGUUUUAUGACGAGAACAUUGUCUUGGUGCCUCCUGUCAGGGGUUUUGUGGAAGUGUCCGGGGGAGUUGAGCUCUGAGGUGUUGUCGUCAUAAUUUUAUCGUUGCAGUUCUGGAAUACCUGAGUCUAGUACGCCGACAUCGAAAAUCUCUUUUAUGCAGUUCGUUGGUGAGAUAACCUCGACGCCACCCAGUACUGGGGCGGGAGUUCGGGAGUAUCGCCAUAACUUGUAUAACGGAUGCUUUUUGAAGGUUGAGGUAGAUGGUUUCCGAAGUUUUUCUCGGUUAUGUGUUGAAGGAUGGAUACAGCUGGAUGUGGGAUUUGCUAGAAUUGGGUGAGAUAUUAUGCUUCCCCUGUAUCCCCAACACCUGAUUGCAUAACCGGAAAGGUUCGGGAGUUUCAUAGGUGGGAAUUCUUGUAGCUCUAGUUCUUCUUCCACAGAUAUUGGGUUGAGAUUGGGUUUUCUUACCGAUUAUUCGUUCUUGAUCCGUACCUUGUUGAUUUAUUUCUCUACCUAAAUUCUACGUGGCUUCUCAAUUUAUGGAUAUGUGACCAUUUCAAGAGGAAUGCAUUCGUUCAUUUUGUUCGGAUGUGAAGACUAUAUGUUGCAAUUUUCAUUCAGUUGGAUUCAGCUUCAAUAUUUGUCUAUCAAUGUGCUAAUGGAUGUCAACCUCUUCAGGAUGGCUCCUCCAACGCGCACUACUCCAAAUCCUGAUCCGCCACCACCUCCACCUCCUCCGGAGGCAUGGCAAGCUGUGAUGGCCGCAACCAAUGCAAACACGCAGUUGAUCAUGCAAAUUCUUCAAGAGCAUAAUCAAGGCAACCAAGGGAACCAAGGCAACAAUCAGAAUCACUUUGCUACACUCAACCAGUUCCUUGCUAACGGGCCAAAGACUUUCAGCAAUUGUGUUGAGGCAACUGAUGCUGACGAUUGGCUCGUGGAUCUGUGCAAGCAUUUCGAGUGCAGUAACGUCAGGCCUGAGGAUUUCAUCAAGUUCGCUUCCUUCCAACUCAAAGACCAAGCCGCAGAGUGGUUCCAGCAGUACAAGGAUUCCAGAGGUGGACGUGUGAUCACUUGGGAUGAAUUCCGUCAAGAUUUCAGAGCUCACCAUAUCCCUCAGAGCAUGGUCGAAAGCAAGCGUGAGGAAUUCGGCAACCUGAAGCAAGGCUCUUUGUUUGUCUAUGACUACAACAAGUUGUUCCAGAAGCUCGCCCGCUUUGCCAAGCAGGACGUACCUGAUGAGAAGAGCAUGAUAUACUAGUUCAGGGGUGGUCUCAAAGAAGAAAUCCAGCUAUCUCUUGUUCUCUUUGAGCCCUUGAGGUACGAUGAGUUCUACAACAUGGCAUUGAAGCAAGAGGCCGCUCAACUGAGGUGUGAUGCUUCCAAGAAGCGAGUCAGAGAUGUUACUCCUUCUUCCUAUACUCAAGUGGCCAAACAGCAGAAGUAUUGGCUUCCUCCUCCUCCGUUCCGUCAACCGUAUCAGCAGAAGAGCAAAGGUGGCAGUGGAUCUUCCCACCCACCCAACCCUGGCUUUCAGAACAAGAAUUUGUCUCAAGCUCCAAGAUCGAGUGCUCUGUACCACCGUCCGCUUUCAGAGGUCACGUGCAACAAGUGCCAACAGAAGGGUCACUAUGCAAACAAGUGUUUCAACCAGAGGCGUCUUCCUCCUCCUCCUAUCAGAUCGGCAAGUACAGUUGUGGUCAAGCAUAACCCCAAGUCCGCCAAGGUCAACUUGAUGAAUGCAGCUCAGGCAGAGGACUCAUCAGAUGUCAUUAUGGGUAACCUUCUUGUUAAUGAUAUUCCUGCAAAAGUUCUUUUUGACACGGGUGCAUCGCAUUGUUUCAUCUCGAGACCAUUUGUUUCUAAGCAUGAGUUGCCUUUACAAGAUUUGCCUAGACAGUUAUCUGUUGUUUCUCCGGGUAAAUUCAUGAAUGCAAGCGCUAUCGCCCCAGAUAUUACUAUCACGUUGGGCGACUACAAGUUUCUCUCUUCUCCGGUGGUUCUUGGUAACUCGGAUAUUGAUCUUAUUCUCGGGAUGGAUUGGCUUUCUAAGCACAAGGCGCAUCUUGAUUGUGCAGCCAGGCAGAUUCAAUUGACUCAUUCGUUUAAGAAUGUAAUUGUGUUUGCCGCUCGUGAUGAUACCAUCCGUCUAUUUUCUCUCAGUGAGAAGGGUGAACUCGAUGCCAUCUCGCAAAUUCCAGUCGUUUGUGAAUAUCAAGACGUCUUUCCAGAAGAGCUUCCAGGAAUGCCUCCGCACCGGCCAGUUGAAUUCGUUAUUGAUCUUGAGCCUGGUACGGAACCAGUGUGCAAGCGUCCUUAUAAGCUCGGACCUGAAGAGUUGAAGGAGCUGAAGAAGCAACUCGAUAUUCAAGAGAGAAUGGGUCUCAUCCGGCCUAGUUCUUCUCCGUGGGGUUGUGGUGUUCUUUUUGUGAAGAAGAAGGAUGGAAUGGACCGACUUUGUGUUGAUUACCGUCCAUUGAACAAGAAGACCAUCAAGAACAAAUACCCACUUCCCAACAUUAACGAGUUGUUCGAACAACUCAAAGGUGCCCAAGUAUUCUCCAAGCUUGAUCUCCGUAUGGGUAUCAUCAGAUUCGAAUCCGUGAGCAAGAUAUUCCCAAGACGGCUUUCAGGACAAGCUAUGGUUCAUAUGAAUACAUGGUCAUGUCUUUUGGCCUCGUCAACGCUCCUCCGAUGUUCUCUCGCAUGAUGAACUUCAUCUUCAACGCCUACACCAAUGACUUUGUUUUGGUCUAUCUCGACGACAUUCUGGUUUUCUCGAAGAACAAGGAAGAUCAUGCCAAGCACUUGCGUUUGGUACUCGAUAAGUUGAGGGAACACAAGUUCUACGCCAAGUUCUCCAAGUGCGAAUUUUGGCUCGAUGAGGUUCUUUAUCUUGGUCAUAUCAUCUCUGCCAAGGGCAUUGCGGUGAAUCCUGAGAAGGUGUUUGCAAUUGUGAAUUGGGAACCUCCUCAGAACGUGAAGCAACUCCGCAGCUUCCUUGGUCUUGCAAGCUACUGUCGAAGAUUCGUUGAAAACUUUUCUAAGAUCACGAAGCCUCUCUCAAAUCUUCUCUAGAAGCACGUCAAGUACAUUUGGUCUCCGGAGUGUGACAUUGCUUUCAACACUUUGAAAGAGAAAUUGAUCACUGCUCCAGUUCUGACUCCGCCUGAUGAAUCCAAGCCGUACGAGGUCUUUUGUGAUGCCUCUCUCCAAGGUCUUGGCGCAGUAUUGAUGCAAGAGAAGAAAGUUGUUGCUUAUACCUCUUGCCAGUUGAAGCCCAAUGAGAAGAACUACCCCACUCAUGAUCUCGAGUUGGCGGAAGUUGUGCAUACUCUUUUGACUUGGAGACAUCUCUUAUUGGGAAGAAAAAUGGACAUUUUCACUGAUCACAAGAGUCUCAAGUACAUUUUCACUCGGCCUAAUCUCAACCUCAGGCAAACUCGAUGGGUCGAAAUGAUUCAAGAGUAUAAUCCGAGUAUCGAGUAUACUCCAGGCAAGGCCAAUGUGAUUGCUGACGCAUUGAGCAGAAAGGCUUAUUGCAACAGUCUUAUUCUCAAGCCUUAUCAACCCGGGCUUUGUGAAGUUUUCCGCAAACUUAACCUGUAAGUUGUUCCUCAAGGUUUCCUCGCCAACCUUCAAGUCUCUCCUACCUUGGAAGACCAGAUUCGCCAAGCCCAGAUUCUCGAUGCUAUGGUGAAAAAGGUGAAGAUUAGAAUUACCAAGAGUCAACCCAAGUAUAAGUGCUACCGCCUUGAUGACAAGGAUACUCUCUUCUUCAAGGAUCAUAUUGUCGUGCCCAAAGGUGACCUCCGUAAAGUGGUCAUGAACGAGGCUCACAAUUCUCUCCUCUCCAUCCACCCUGGGAGUACGAAGAUGUAUCAGGACCUCAAGCAGGCUUAUUGGUGGACUCGAAUGAAGCGCGAGAUUGCUCAGUUCGUUAAUGAGUGUGAUGUCUGCAGAAGAGUGAAGGCAGAACACCAAAGGCCAGCUGGUCUCCUCCAACCUCUUUCCAUUCCAGAAUGGAAGUUUGACCACAUUGAGAUGGACUUCGUGACUGGGUUUCCAAAGUCCAAGCGUGGCAAUGAUGCUAUAUUCGUUGUCAUCGACAAACUCACUAAAGUGGCUCACUUUCUGCCUAUCAAAGAGUCAAUCACUGCAGCUCAAUUGGCGGAGCUCUAUACCUCUCGAAUUGUCUCUCUGCACGGUAUUCCACAAGUGAUCUCUUCAGACCGUGGCAGCAUCUUUACCUCCAAGUUUUGGGAUUCUUUUCAGAAGGCCAUGGGCACCAACAUCCUCUUCAGCACAGCUUUCCAUCCUCAAACUAGCGGUCAAGUCGAGCGUGUCAACCAGAUUCUUGAAGAUAUGCUCAGGGCUUGUGUUAUCUCCUUCGGCAUGAAGUGGGAGGAUUGUCUUCCUUAUGCUGAAUUCUCCUACAACAACAGUUUUCAAGCAAGUUCGGGCAAAGCCCCAUUUGAAAUUCUGUAUGGCAGGAAGUGUCGUACCCCUCUCAACUGGUCUGAAACCGGUGAACGUCAGCUUUUGGGAAAUGACUUAAUCACAGAGGCAGAGGAAAUGUGCAAAGUCAUUCGAGAUAAUCUCAAAGCAGCCCAAUCCCGCCAGAAGAGCUACUAUGGUAGUAAGCACCGUGAUUUGGCUUUCGAGAUCGGAGAUCAUGUUUACCUCCACGUCUCUCCUAUGAAAGGUACUCGUCGUUUCGGUAUCAAAGGGAAGCUUGCCCCUAGAUACGUGGGACCUUUCAAUAUUGUCAGCAAGAGAGGCGACCUCGCCUAUCAACUCGAGCUUCCUUCAAACUUUGCAAAUGUUCAUGACGUGUUCCAUGUCUCUCAGCUUCGAAAGUGCUUCAAGACUCCUGACCGCACCGUCAACUUUGAGGACAUUGAGCUCCAAGAAGAUCUCUCCUAUCGUGAGCACCCCGUUGCUAUUCUUGAAGAGACUGAACGCAAGACUCGCAACAAGUCAAUCAAAUUCCUCAAAGUCAAGUGGUCACACCAUUCCGACUGUGAAGCUACCUGGGAACACGAGGAUCACCUCCAUUCUGAGUACCCGGCGUUCUUUCAGUCCUAGAUCUCGGGACGAGAUCCUUUCGUAGUAGUGGAGUGUUGUAACACCCCGGAUAUGACUUUCCCAAUUUGUACUCCAACUCUUGCCGUUUCCGGCGUUAACUUAUUUUAUUUUCUCGGGUUCGGGUUUUUGUCUCCGUGUGUUGCUAUCGUUGUCAUGCAUCUCAUAUCAUGUCAUCAUAUGCAUUGCAUCUGCAUACGUGUUCAUCUCAUGCAUUCGAGCAUUUUCUCCGUUGUCCAUUUUGCAUUCCGGCGCUUCGUUCUCCUCCGGUGGUCAUUUCUACCUUUCUUUCAUGUGUGGGGAUUAAACAUUUCCGGAUUGGACCGAGACUUGACAAGCGGCCUUGGUUUACUACCGGUAGACCGCCUGUCAAGUUUCGUACCAUUUGGACUUCGUUUGAUGCUCCAACGGUUAACCGAGGGACCGAAAAGGCCUCGUGUGUGUUGCAGCCCAACACCCCUCCAAUUUGGCCCAAAACCCACCUAAACCUUCUACAUCAUCUAGAGCGUUCGAUCACGAUCGCGUGGCCGAAAACCGCACCUCAUUUGGACACUCCUAGCUCCCUCUAUGCCUAUAUAUACCUCCCCCUCUCCAAAUUUUGGAUCUCCCCGUCCAAAACCCUAAAAAAACACCUCGCGCCGGCCGGACAGCGUCCGCCGCCGCCUCCGGCCAACCGGGGCACGCCACGUCACCUGGGGGAGAGCCCCACUUCGCCGCCACCGCGCGGGCCUGCCAGGCCCGCACCGGGCCCCCGCGGCCCACCUGCCCACCGCCGCCCGUGCCUUCGUCUUCAAGCUCCGCGGCGAGCCCGCGCCGCCUCGCCUCUCUCUCCGACGGAGCCGCGCCACCGCGCCGCAGCACGAACUCGUCAGCGGCCGCCUCAUCCCUCGGCGGCAGGAGCCUCCGUGCCGCCAUCGCCGUCCAUCACCAUCGACGCCGCCGCCCCAGCCUUCCUCCUCCCUCCUCAAUGCCGCCUCCCCGAGCUCUCCGGCAAGCCGCCGGCCUACCUCCCCGACGAACUCCGGCGUUCCUCGGUCGGCGUACGCCCAGAUCCAGAUCCGAGCUACAGUAACCUAGGGUUGACCUCGAUUUUUCCCUAAGUCUGCAUAUUAUUUGCUCAUGUUCUUCAUGCUAUAACUUUGCAUCCGUAGCUCCGUUUUGGGCAUAUAGCAUAUCAAAAUGUUCGCCUCAGAGAGUACAUCAUUUCAUAUCAUUGCAUCAUUUUCAUUUGAGUUCAUCUUGAUGCCCGAAAUGCUGUUAUAAGAGUGCUACUUGAGAUAUUUGUCAGAUCUGCUACUCCAUUUAGAUUUGUCAUUUUUGCCAUGAUUAUUGUGUGCAUGAUAUGCCCAUGAGCUCUACAUAUGUUUUGUUAAGGGUUUUUCCAUCUUUCCAGACGUGCAACCCAUGUAUUUUUGUGAUGUGUGUGGUGACUAGCACAAGCUUGCGAAGUGAGGCACUUGGUAAUGCUGAUUUCAGGGACUUAGCAUUUCCACCAAGUCAUUGAGCUGUUUAUCUCAUGAUGUCAUAUGUUCAUGUUGUUUCCUAGUGAUCCGUGCCUUUUUUGAGGAUGAUCAGCAAGGAUGUUUUGUUAAUCUUGUAGUGCUCUAUCCAUCCAUGUCUUUGUUUGCAAUUAUGGAGCAACCUAGCUUGAGUCAAUCGAGCUCUACUUUUGCUACUUCGUGAAUUUGGGCAGAUUGUCUACUUGUUAGCGAUUUUGCCGAUGAUGGUGUAGUUGAUUCGUACAUGCUAUGCUAUUGUUAUUGCCAUGCCUAGCUUGCAUUUUGUGUAUUCUUGAUGGGUGUAUGCUUAGAUUAUCAUUACUUGCUCCGUAGUGAGUGCAUCGAGCUCGUAAACAUGCCUACUUGAUAUCUGUUUUCAGCAUGCUCCAGUUUUCACUAAGUCUCAGAACUGAUUAUGUUUUUGCCAUGUUCACAUGCUUGCAAUUGUAUUUUCUGAUCCCUUUUGUCUCAAGGUCACUAAGGGACUUUUGUUAAGCUCUUUGAGUAGCUCCAUGCCAUGCUUUACUUUGCCAUGUUCAGGUCCUGUAGCAUGUAGUUUUGUUGCUCCGAAGUGUGCUACCUGAUCUGAAAUUCCAGACAAGUGUUAAUUUCACUAAGUCUGAAAUUUGUUUGCCAUAUGCAUUUUUACCAUGCUUGUUUGAACCUGUUAAUGGAUGAAUUGGCCAUAGCUCAGUGCUAGACUUUUGUUAAGCAUCAUGAAUUCAUCCCUGCCAUGUAUUUUGUUGUCAUGUUUGGGUGUUGUAGCUUGUUCAUCUCUUUGCAUUUAGAUGGGCUACUUGCUGUAAAUCGCAGACUGGUGUCAUAUUUGAAUUGCUUGCCAUUUUCAAACCGUAACUCCGAUUCCGGCGUUCUUUAUAUCGUUUUCAAGAGAUUUCAUCUCAUCUUUCCAGUGGCACACUUGGAUUUCCAAGUUGAGGCCAGGUUCAUGCAUCCCUUGUCAAAUCUUGCAUAUGCAUCCCGCAUCGCAUCCCGCAUAGCAUACCAUCCUUGCAUCAUAUUGUUUGAUCCUUGCACGUGGUUGAUUGUGUCCUUGUUGCUUGUUUGUCUUGUUUGGGUAGAGCCAGGAGACGAGUUCGCUAAUGAGGAGCCUGUUGAGUUUGCUUUCGAGGAUCCAGUCAACUCUGACCACUUUGCAGGCAAGAUGAUCAUACCCUCGAAAUCACUACUAUCUUUGCUAUGCUAGAUUGCUCGCUCUUUUGCUAUGCCAAUGCUACGAUGCCUACCACUUGCUUUCAAGCCUCCCAAAUUGCCAUGUCAAACCUCUAACCCACCUUGUCCUAGCAAACCGUUGAUUGGUUAUGUUACCGCCUUGCUCAGCCCCUCUUAUAGCGUUGCUAGUUGCAGGUGAAGAUUGGAGACCGUUCCUUGUUGGAACUUAAUUUACUUGUCGGGAUAUCAUUAUAUUGCCAUGUUAUCUUAAUGCAUCUAUAUACUUGGUAAAGGGUGGAAGGCUCGGCCUCUCGCCUAGUGUUUUGUUCCACUCUUGCCGCCCUAGUUUCCAUCAUAUCGGUGUUAUGUUCCCAGAUUUUGCGUUCCUUACCAGGUUGGGUUAUAAUGGGAACCCCUUGAUAGUUCGCCUUGUUUAAAGCUUUUCCAGCAAUGCCCAACCUUGGUUUUACCAUUUGCCGCCUAGCCUCUUUUUCCCUUGGGUUUCCAGAGACCGAGGGUCAUCUUAUUUUAGCCCCCCCGGGCCAGUGCUCCUCUGAGUGUUGGUCCAACCGAGCGAUGUCCGGGGCUACCAGGGCAACUCUGGGCUGGCCUACCCGACGUCUGGCUCAUUUGAGUGUGCCCUGAGAACGAGAUAUGUGCAGCUCCUAUCGGGAUUUGUCGGCACAUUCGGCACGGUGUUGCUGGUCUUGUUUUAACCUGUCGAAGUGUCUUGAAGAACCGAGGUACCGAGUCUGAUCGGAACGUCUUGGGAGGAGGUCUAUUCCUUCGUUGACCGUGAGAGCUUGUCAUGGGCUAAGUUGGGACUCCCCUACAGGGAUUUGAACUUUCAAAAGUCGUGCCCGCGGUUAUGGGCAGAUGGGAAUUUGUUAAUGUCCGAUUGUAGAUAACUUGAACCUUAUUUUAAUUAAAAUGAAUCAACUGAGUGUGUUACCGUGAUGGCCUCUUCUCGGCGGAGUCCGGGAAGUGGACACGGUGUUGGAGUAAUGCUUGCGCAGGUUGCUCUCUAGUUUCUUGCUCGCGCUUUGCCUCCUCUUCUCACUCUCUUUUGCGAACAGGAUAGCCACCAUAUUUGCUAGUCGCUUGCUGCAGCUCCACAUAUUUACCUUGCCUUACCUAUAAGCUUAAAUAGUCUUGAUCGCGAGGGUGCGAGAUUGCUGAGUCCCUGUGGCUCACAGAUUACUAUUACACCAGAUGCAGGGCCUGAUGAUUCCUCUCUAGGUGAUGCGCUCGAGCUCAAGUGGGAGUUCGACGAGGACUCUCAAUGUUACUAUGUUUCCUUUCCUGAUGAUCAGUAGUGGUGCCCAGUUGGGGUGAUCGGGACCGUGUCGCUUGUUGGGUUAUCUUUUAUUUUGGCGCCGUAGUCGGGCCAUGAGUGUUUGGAUGAUGUAAUGUUAUUUAUGUACUUGAUUGACGUGGCGAGUGUAAGCCAACUAUGUUAUCUCCCCUUUUAUUAUCUAUAUUACAUGGGAUGUUGUGAAGAUUGCCUAACUUGCGACAUAUGCCUUCAAUGCGAUUAUGCCUCUAAGUCGUGCCUCGACACGUGGGAGAUAUAGUCGCAUCGAGGGUGUGGCAAUGCCCACCGACAGGGGCCGUCUGGGCGACGCGGGAAGCGAGUGCGGCCCGGCGCUCGGUGCGGGCCCGACGAGUGUCAGACAUGGGCGUGACGGUCGGAGGAGAACGGGGCGGUGGAAGACGAAUUCCGGUGCACCCCUACCUGGCGCGCCAAAUGUCGGAUUUCGGGUUCCGGCAGACCCUUGAGGUUCGAACACUGGGGUGCGCGCGGAGAUUUUGCCUCCUACCUACCUGCACCCCUCCGCCAUGCUAGGAUCUAAACUAAGGAAAGAACAACACAAAAGACACAUGGUUUAUACUGGUUCGGGCCACCGUUGUGGUGUAAUACCCUACUCCAGUGUGUGGUGUGGUGGAUUGCCUCUUGGGAUGAUGAUGGUGAACAAUACAAGGAAGAACAGCCUCGCGAGGGUCUGUUCUUGGCUGAGGCGAUGAACUGCUGGGAGGAGUUCAGCCACCUUUCUCUCUCUCUCUCUCUCUGCUCUCCUUUGGCCGACCGACCCCCUUGCUGUGUGGGCGGCUGGUCCUAUUUAUAGAGGCCCUGGUCCUCUUCCCAAAUAUUGAGUGGGAAGGGAGCCAACAAUGGCGGGCUAAUUUGAAGGGGGACAGCAAGUAUCAGCUAUCCUGACAAAAGUAGUCUUCGCCUGCGCAAAGCUCUGGUGAUGACGCCGUCUUGGGCUCCACGGUGACCUCCGUCUCGUAGUCCUACUGGUCUUGGUCUCGUUGCACCGAAAUGGCAACCUUUUCCUGAUGCCUCAGUACUCCGCGGCUGCGGUUGCCCCCUUUGCACCAAAGAGGAAAGGAGGACGCUGCGCGGGCUGGCACCCGCCUGGCGCCCUGAGUUGUCAUGGCUUGCGUCAUGGGCACCUCGUGAGGUACCCCGCCUUGAUCUCUCCGCCUCCUCGUGAGCUAGCCUGACGAGGCUGUGCCUGAGGAAGCUUCGCGUCGUCUGCCCCGCGAGGCUUGGCCCCUCGCGAGGGUCUUGGGUUUGUGUUGGUGAAGAUGGGCCGUGCUGGGCCCCCCUUUGAGCCACGCCGCAGGCCGCAGGCAGGCAAGUCUGGGGACCCCCGUUCCCAGAAUGCCGACAACGUCCACGAGGGUGGAGGGGCGCGCCCCCCUACCUCGUGGGCACCUCGUGCGCUCUCCGGACUCCGUUUUCUUGCACAAUACGUAUUUUGGUCGGUAAAAAUUCAUUAUAUAAUCUCCCGAAGGUUUUGACACCUGUAUCACGCAAAUAUCCUCUGUUCUUGUUUCAAGCUGUUUCCUGUCAGGGUCGUCAAGGCCAGGCAUCAUGUCGUCCCCCUACUCCAACAAUGGUGACAACGAUGCUUGGCUAAUGAAGAUAGAGCUAAAGAGGGAAGAACCCAUGGAGAUCAACAAGGAUAAAGGGAUCAAGAAGGCCACAGAGGAUCAAGCUCCGGCAGCAGAAGACAUCCUUCAACUUGAUCACAAUCUUCUUACCCCAACUGAGAUUGAGGCUUUCAAGAUGAUUGAGUUAGCUCAUAUACAAAACAAGUAUCUCACACGUGAAAAUAUUUUGUUGAAGGAGCAUAUUGUUGCACGCAAGGGCAUUAUCCACAAGCUGGAGGACCUCUUACGCUCGAUAUGUGACUAUCCAUCAUCAACAACACCUCCAUCUUCUUCAUCAGCAAAGGAGACAUAAUCACAUGGGUAUGGGCACUCCCCUUGGCAACUGCCAAGCUUGGGGGAGGUGCCCCAGUAUCGUAUCACCAUCACUUUUAUCUUUACCAUUUUUCUUAGUUUGUUCCUUUUGGUAAUAUCUUGAUCUAGUAGAAUAAAGUUUAUGGCAUGAUCUAGCUUUGAGUUUUUCUUUAUGAUCCCUCUAUGUAAUCGAGUCCGUGAGUUAUAUAUAAUAAAGAUUAGUGUUGAGUCAAGGGCUUGAUUAUUUUGCCAUGAUCUUGAGUGAAUAAAAGAAAAGAGAAAAGAACAAAAAGAAAUAAAGAGUUCAUAUUGAUCUUAUUGAGAUAAUGAGCUCACAUAGAAAGAGUAUGAUGAUUAAAAGUUGUUGAGAGUUGACAAACAUAGUUUUGGUCAUCGCUGCAAUUAAUAGGAAGUAAUAAAGAAAGAGAGGUCUUCACAUAUAAACACUAUCUUGGACAUCUUUUAUGAUUGUGAGCACUCAUUAAAAUAUGACAUGCUAAAGAGUUGACGUUGGACAAGGAAGACAACGUAAUGGGUUAUGUUUUCUUACAUCUGAGAUAAAUUAUAUUGUCAUGGAUCCUCCAACAUGUUGAUCUUGCCUUUCCCCCUCAUGCUAGCAAAAUUCAUCGCACCAAGUAGAGAUACUACUUGUGCUUCGAAACACCCUUAAGCCAGUUUUGCCAUGAGAGUCCGCCAUACCUACCUAUGGAUUGAGUAAGAUCCUCCAAGUAAGUUGUCAUCGGUGCAAGCAAUAAAAAUUGCUCUCUAAAUAUGUAUGACUUAUUAGUGUGGGAGAAUAUAAGCUUUAUACGAUCAUGUGAUAUGGAAGAAAUAAAAGCGACAGACUGCAUAAUAAAAGGUCCAUAUCACAAGUGGCAAUAUAAAGUGACAUUCUUUCGCAUUACGAUUUUGUGCAUCCAACCAUAAAAGCGCAUGAUAACCUCUGCUUCCCUCUGUGAAGGGCCUGUCUUUUACUUUUAUCUCCUACCUUGCAUAAGAGUCAUGGUGAUCUUCACCCUUCCUUUUUAUAUUUUAUCCUUUGGCUAGCACAAUAUGUUGGAAAGAUCCUCGUAUAUAUGGCUAAUUGGAUGUGAGCUUUCAUGAACUAUUAUUUUUGACAUUACCCUUGAGGUAAAAUGUUGGGAGGCAAAAUUACAAGCCCCUAUCUUUCUCUGUGUCCGAUUAAAACUCCAUACCCAUAAGUAUUGCGUGAGUGUCAGCAAUUGUGAAAAACUAUUUGAUAGUUGAGUAUGUGGACUUGCUAAAAAGCUCUUAUAUUGACUCUUUCCUAUGUUAUGAUAAAUUGCAAUUGCUCCAAUGACCAAGAUUAUAAUUUGUUAGUUGCCAAUGAAGUUUAUGAUUCAUACUUGAAAUUGUGAUUGAAUUAUUACUCUAGCAUAAGAAAUCAUAUGACAUUAUCCAUAUAUGUUGUUGUUCUAAGAAUGAUCAUGAUGCCCUCAUGUCCGUAUUUUAUUUUAUCGACACCUCUACCUCUAAACAUGUGGACAUAUUUAUAGUUAUCGGCUUUCGCUUGAGGACAAGCGAGGUCUAAGCUUGGGGGAUUUGAUACGUCCAUUUUGCAUCAUGCUUUUAUAUCGAUAUUUAUUGCAUUAUGGGUUGUUAUUACACAUUAUGUCACAAUAGUUAUGCCUAUUCUCUCUUAUUUUACAAGGUUUACAUAAAGAGGGAGAAUACCGGCAGCUGGGAUUCUGGGCUGGAAAAGGAGCAAAUAUUAGAGACAUAUUUUGCACAGCUUAAAAAGUCCUGAAACUUCAUGGAAGAUGUUUUCAGAAUAUAUAAAAAAUACUCAGUGGAAGAAGUUCACCAAGGGGGCCACACCCUGCCCACGAGGGUGGGGGCACGCCCUACCCCCGUGGGCGCGCCCCCUACCUCAUGGGCCCCCUGGUGGCCCUCCGAUGGCCAUCUUCUGCUAUAUGGUGUCUUUCGAUGAGGAAAAAAUCAUAAGCCAUCUCCUCGGAUGAAACUCCGCCACCACGAGGCGGAACCUUGGCGGAUCCAAUCUAGGGCUCCGGCAGAGCUGUUCUGCCGGGGAAACUUCCCUCCGGGAGGGGGAAAUCAUCGCCAUCGUCAUCACCAAUGCUCCUCUCAUCGGGAGAGGGCAAUCUCCAUCAACAUCUUCAUCAUCACCAUCUCCUCUCAAAACCCUAGUUCAUCUCUUGUAUAUAAUUCUUGUCUCCAAGUGCGGGAUUGGUACUAGUAGGUUGCUAGUAGUGUUAAUUACUCCUUGUAGUUGAUGCUAGUUGGUUUAUUUGGUGGAAGAUCAUAUGUUCAGAUCGUAUAUGCAUAUUAAUACCCUCUGAUUAUGAACAUGAAUAUGCUUCGUGAGUAGUUAUGUUUGUUCCUGAGGACAUGGGAGAAGACUUGCUAUUAGUAGUCAUGUGAAUUUGGUAUUCGUUCGAUAUUUUGAUGAGAUGUAUGUUGUCUAGCCUCUAGUGGUGUUAUGUGAACGUCGACUACAUAACACUUCACCAUUAUUUGGGCCUAGAGGAAGGCAUUGGUUAGUAAUAAGUAGAUGAUGGGUUGCUAGAGUGACAGAAGCUUAAACCCUAGUUUAUGCGUUGCUUCGUAAGGGGCUGAUUUGGAUCCAUAUGUUUCAUGCUAUGGUUAGGUUUACCUUAAUACUUUUGUUGUAGUCGCGGAUGCUUGCAAUAGAGGUUUAUCAUAAGUGGGAUGCUUGUCCAAGUAAGGACAGUACCCAAGCACCGGUCCACCCACAUACCAAAUUAUCAAAGUACCAAACGUGAAUCAUAUGAGCGUGAUGAAAACUAGCUUGACGAUAUUCCCAUGUGUCCUCGGGAGCGCUUUCCUCUAUAUAAGAGUUUGUCCAGGCUUGUCCUUUGCUACAAAAAGGAUUGGGCCACCUUGCUGCACUUUAUUUACUUUUGUUACUUGUUGCUCGUUACAAAUUAUCCUAUCACAAAACUAUCUGUUACCACUUAUUUCAAUACUUGCAGAGAAUACCUUGCUGGAAACCGCUUAUCAUUUCCUUCUACUCAUCGUUGGGUUCGACACUCUUACUUAUCGAAAGGACUACGAUAGAUCCCCUAUACUUGUGGGUCAUCAGUUAUCAGGCGAAUGAGCCCAGUUUUUCUUUUCUUCCUAUAUAUAAAAAAGUAUGCUACUUGGUGUCAGCUUAGUCAAAAAACAAUUGUGCCAACCUUGACCGUUGGAUUGACAUUCAAUGUCAGUCGUGUUUCCUCACUCUCUUCUUCCUCCAGUCGUUAAAGCCAAACCAGCGCCGGUGGGACCGCCUACUUCCGCCUCCGACGGCUGGCUGUGCUGUCGCGCACGCAUCGUGGCCACAUUGCACCCUAAAACUCUGCACAUCUUCCCCGGCUCUUGUUCAUUCCCGUCCGAGGCCUCACCAUCGUCCUCCGCCUUGAUUCGCUCGCCGCGGCGCCGCCCUCCGGUGUUGUCAACAUGUUCAACAACCGAGAGGAAUAAGGAGAUGACUGUACAUUGUGAGGAUGACAGUAGGGACCCAGUAGCGUGCAGUAAUUUUGUUUUUUCGGGACAGAGAAGGGUAUCAACUGGGUUGUUCGGGAGCUGUGGCCCGUCUAGCACAUGACCAGCCCACUUUGUUUUUUUCCUUUCUGAAAAUGGCUAGCCCAGCUAUUUUGUUUUUUGUAGAAUAACCAACGUAGGCCUACUUGUUUUUCUACGCCCUACUGGGCCGGAAGUCUAUCAAGACGAGGAGGGAUGCAUUUUGCCCAGAAAAUGGGCUAUAAGUAAUAAGAAAUGGGCUAUAAAUAAUAUUAAAUGGACUGUAAAAUGAAAAAUAUAGCAAACAUGCAAUUAGUUCCAAAAUACUUUUUUCUUUCGGAUUUUGAUAUUUUAAAUUUCAUUGUUUUUGUGCGGGUAAAAUUUCAUUCGAUUUAAAUUAAGGUAUGUUUAAUUUUUAAAUUAAUUUGAAUCUGGCUAGAAAUUUCGGGUUGUAUGUUGUUUGGGUCACAUUUGGAGGCUCACUAGUGGGUCUACUAGGUUGACGUGUAUGAAAGGCUUUGUCAACUUAGUCCACAAAUGAUUGCAGUAGUGAUCGUUGGAUGUUAAUCCAACGGCCGUGCUGCUUCUUCAAUAUCUGAUCAUCUUGCUCCAGCCGCCCAAACCAGCGCCGGUGGGACUGCCUGCUCCCGCCUCCCGUGACCGGCUGUGCUGCCGCACAGGCCGCACCGCCCCACCCUACUCCAUUGCUGGCCAGGCCAUUCCUCUACUCACCCACACCUCCUGUUAUUUUCCGGCGACGGCAGCCGGACCAAUAAACCCUCAUACUCCCCACCGCGUGCACUACAAGAAAUAUAUCAACUUGUGACCUUGACUAUUGGUCACUGAAAGGUCAUUGUUUUUUAUUUGCGACCUUUUUGUGACCAAAAACAGAAGGUCAAAAGCUAGCAGUCGUAAACUGAAAUUAACGACCUUCUCUGUGAGAAGGUCAUAGACGUUUAUGACCAAAACAGAAGAUCGUUGAACCCAUGACCUUUUGUUUUGGUCACUGGCUGUCUGCUCAGGCCACGUCGGAUCCGACGUGGCAAUCUGACGUGGCAAAAUAGCGACCAAUUGAAAAGGUCACUGACAAGAUUCAGCCCGGUCCGAUUGAUUCUUUUACAUGGGCCGAACCCAUUAAUUCAGCCCAUUUGUUGUUGUUUUUUCUUUCAAUUUGAGUCAACUACAUGGGUCGGGCCCAACAAUUUGGCCUUUUUAUUUCUAGGCCUUAGCCAUUUCACAGUCCAUUUCAUUAAGCCUUUUUGUACCGUGUAUUCAUAAAUGCACAACAUUCAAGUACACUACUGUUUGGGCCAUAGCAUUUUUAGAGCCCAAAUAUUAUUUGAUCCAUUAGAACAUCCAAACCUUUUCAUUCACAGAUUUCAAAUUUACACAUUUCAACAGCAAACAAUCAAAACAUUCUUUCAAUUAAAUGAUCAAAUCCAAAAAUCGAUCAAUGAAACUCACAAUACCACAUGUACAAUAGCACAUAUUGCACGAUCCAACAAGUGUACAUACAAUCAAAAAACAAAUACACAUGCACCAAAACUUGGUGGCAACAUCAACUAAAACUUGGUGCACAUAUCCAGGCUUCUUCUGAUCUUCGGUAAGAGCAGCAGCCACCUCGACGACAUUAGAUCCUGAUCUACAUAAAUUAGUAGUGAGAUAGAGUGAAAGUUGAAUGAUUGCCAAUAAAAUACAUGGGUAGAACAUGGAUGACAUUAUAUAGAAGAGUAGAGAUCUGUGUCCCUUCUAAGCACAUCAAAUGUACAAAAUCUGGACUGGUUAAAUAAUAAUUGUAUCCUUCUCUACAAGCACAUAUAAGUAAUUAAUAAGUACUAAUCCUAUCAUGUAUGGCAGGCUUGCAAGAUGGAGAUGCAUACAUGACUAAACAGUAACAUAUUAUGGUAUGACCAGGGUGAGAAAAUCAACAACUCGAUCGACCCAACAUUGAAAUCGGACAUGAUAUCCUAAAACAGCAAGAAACGGGAAAAGUAGGCUCAUACAUCAGGACCACUAAAACCAAGCACAUCACAACCAUGGUCGAGGAAAUAAUCAACAUCUGCAUUUUACCGCAGUACACUUACCACAAAACUGUCAUCAGUACAGAGAUCAUUAGCUACCACCGCAUGAAGCAUCCAUACAUCAAACUGAUUUUUCUACAGUUGGUUGAAACACUACACGUCAACCAGAAAUUUGUAAGUACAUGAGACAAUGGCUUAACAGAAGAACAUUGUGACUUCCUCGGCUAUUUGUUUCAACAGUAGUACAAACAUCACCUCUGUUACACCCUCAGCAGCAUUAAACAAUGCCUGAUAAUAUACAUGUACAGAAGAUUCAUACACAGUCGCAUGACCAACAUUCAGCAUGUUAUCUACACAAAGAAGAGAAAAGUCAAACAGAUCUCAAUCAUUUUGCAGUAUUAACACAUGCACAUCAAGUAAGAGUGGUGCUCUGUUUUUACCACAGCGGCACAAGCGAGACAAUGUCUGAUUUGCCCUACUCCUCCACAAGAUUCGCCCUACAUUUCAAAGCACACUGCAUGGGAACAAAGACACUUAUGAACAAAGAUAUGCCUCAAAUUUCAACAGAACACUACUGUGCUAGUUAAGCUAGUCAAUGCACAAACAUAUAAGCAUGCAGAAAUAGUAGUACUAGUCAUAUACAUGACACAUCAUGUAACAAGAUCUAAAAUGAAUAAUUCUAGGCUAGAAGAAAAAUAUAUAAUACCAAAUACCAACUAAAAAGUACAGGAUGCUAGUAGCGGAACAAACACUACUAUAUCUGCCAAAUGCACAGGCCAAUUAAGCAUGUUCCUCCAAUAUUAUGCAAUCUGAGAUGCAAACAGGUAACAAUGCCUAUUUUUCUUGUCAUAAGAAGAGGCUAGAGCCCUUUUCUGUUUGGUGAUGGUGCUGAUGGGGCGAUGGUAGGCACGCCUAUAUUUACAAGAACAACUGGGCAUUUUGUACGAGUAAAGAUAUCAUGUAGUUCCCUGAAUUAACAAAUUACGCACACCCUAAAAAGUGACAACAAAGGUACGCAUGGGCAUUUAUCGCCAUAGCAAUAGUUCAAGGAUAAAAUCAUAGAUGAUAUAUUUUUUAAGAUCCACAAACCCAGACACAACAAGUUCUUACUAGACUAUCAACAUAUAUACAGGUAUGUUUUUACAACAAAAAUGUCAAGU
rnacentral:lncRNA from 1 species